UAGGGAGACCUACCCAUUUAGAUAUCGAAAGCAAUGAGUAAAUAGAUACUAAACUGGUCUACUCUAGGUCGGUCGCAGACUUGAAGAAAGUCUUUCAAACUAUGAUUGGGUUCAUUUAAGGGCUAUUAGCUCAGGUGGUUAGAGCGCACCCCUGAUAAGGGUGAGGUCCCUGGUUCGAGUCCAGGAUGGCCCACCUGAAAGUAAUUAGUAAUUACUAAUUCGUAAUUCGUAAUUCGUAAUUAAAAAAUUAGGAAUUAUGAAUUACGAAUUACAAAUUAACUUGAUGGGGGUUUAGCUCAGUUGGUAGAGCGCCUGCUUUGCAAGCAGGAUGUCAGCGGUUCGAGUCCGCUAACCUCCACAUUGGAAAAAUUCAGCACCUGAAACUAUGAAAAUAGUACAGAAUGCUGGGUAAAUACCAGCCAGAACCUUGAAAACUGCAUAGUAACGCGAGGCAGUUCAGUAAUCUAGUGCUUUAGCAGCAGAUAACUGAAAUGAAAAAAACCAAUGUAAAGU
rnacentral:tRNA from 1 species